rnacentral:rRNA from 1 species
UGGGGAAUAUUGGGCAAUGGGCGAAAGCCUGACCCAGCGACGCCGUGUGGGCGAUGAAGGCCUUCGGGUUGUAAAGCCCUGUCGGAUGGGAAGAAGGGUCCGGAGGUGAAUAAUCUCUGGAUCUUGACGGUACCAUCGGAGGAAGCACCGGCUAACUCCGUGCCAGCAGCCGCGGUAAUACGGAGGGUGCAAGCGUUGUUCGGAAUUACUGGGCGUAAAGGGCGCGUAGGUGGUUUUGUAAGUCAGAUGUGAAAUCCUUCAGCUCAACUGGAGAACUGCAUCUGAUACUGUAGGACUAGAGUGCAGGAGAGGGAAACGGAAUUCCAGGUGUAGAGGUGAAAUUCGUAGAUAUCUGGAGGAACACCGGUGGCGAAGGCGGUUUCCUGGCCUGACACUGACACUGAGGCGCGAAAGCGUGGGGAGCAAACA